CAUGUAGCAUGCUUCUACCAAGAUCUAAUAAUGUUUGUGAUUGGCUAAUUAACGUUACACAUCGUAGAAACACCCAGGAAAAACUCUAGGUUACGCACAGAGACGGGCUCACGUAAAAAGAAGCUGAAAAAUAAAUAAAAUUAUUUGACCCUUAAUAUGUAAUGAAAUUUCUUUUUGUUGAUGGAUUUCAUAAAAUUGGUAUCAAAAACAGCAUAGUUCAGGAACCGGUAUCAAAGUCACAGUAUUGGUAUCGAUACUGAAAUUUUUUUUUAAC